rnacentral:lncRNA from 1 species
ACGAAAUUACAUAAUUUAAGAAAUGUUGUUAGGGAAGCAUCCACGCUCUCUGAUUAGGAGAACGACAAGCAUGAUUGAGAUUACCAUUGAUCUGAGCGACGUGGAAGGCCAGAAACCGAUUAAUGAUCUCCGAAAUACACAACCGUACCGCCAACCCAAAACCAACCCCCCGCGCGCCAUCAACAAUGCGCAUGCAGCUGUUGCAGCAACAGUGGUGAACCCCCCAGGACCUUCUCCUGUGAUUAAUAGUAAUAAUCAUAAUUGCAAUAUUGAAAGUAUGAACUUCGGCUACCAUGAAGAGAACUGUUUCUUGGCCAUGUUUUCACCCAGAAAACAUAUAUGAGAUUAAGCAAAAUCAGUAAACAAAGGAUUAAGUGAGACAAAUAUGUGAGAGAGACCAAUUUUGAGUUUUUAUCUUUUAGAUGGGUGUAAAGAUAAGGGUUUUUUUUUAUAUUAGCAUCCCACAAAAUGUUGAAUGCACCUCACAUUUAAAUUUAAUAUUAAAUGACUUAUUUACCUCACUAUGCAAUGACAAUUUUGACCUUAUUAAGUUAAAAAAAAAAUUUAAAUACACCCCAAAUCACUUUUAGCGUAUUAUUUAUCUUCUCAACUAUCAAAUUGUGGAAUCGCACAACUAACCAUUUGUACUUGUACCUCCAUUUAUAUCCAUCAAUGUAAAGAUGCAGCUUCAAAUAUCUCAAAUUCGUUUGGAAGUGCAGCUUCAAAUAUUUCAAAUAUUUCCAAGAGUAUACGUCUUAAAACCAGCCACGCAAUAAUCAAAAUAAAAUUCCCACAUUGCAAAAAUGAAGUUCGUGAAAGUUAAAACAAAAAUUUGCAUACCACGAAGUUAAACUUAUUAUAAGCCAUUGCUGAUGUUACCCUACUUAACGAAGGUAGACAUCUGUCGAUGCAAACUAUACUAAGAUGAUUUCAAAUCAUCAUUUUGAAAUCAUUCGGCAAGCUAAACGUUUAGAUGAUUUGAAAUCUUUUGGCAAACUAAACGUUCAAAUGGUUAGAUUCAAUCCCUGAAAAUUAAAAAUGAGUGUUAUAAGAUUUGAGAAAUGUGGGGUGUAUGUGCAAAAUAUAAGGUGUAUAUUGAGAAUGUGGGGUGUGGGACGUGGGGGUAUUAUGGGAAAGUAUGUGGAGUAUAUUAAGAUAAUUUUUAAGUGAAAAAGCAAAUGUAGGGUUUAUUAAGAAUGUGUGGUUUCUUCAACAAUUUGUGAGGUGUUAAUAUAAUAAGCCAAGAUAAAUUUCUAUAUUAAAUUAGUUUGUGAUGGUAGUUUUGGUAAUAAAUUUGGGUUUAAAGAGAUAUUGAUAGUUUAAUUAAAAGUAAUAUGGGUGUAGAGAGUAAGUUGGGUGUAGAAAGAGGUUGUAUGAGUUCAAAUAAAAUUUUCCUUUAUUCUUUAUAAAACUUGUACCAAAUUAUUGUAACUAUUUAUUAUAUAACUUUGGCUAAAUUUGUCAUCUUUAGAUUAUAUGUGUUUUGAGACUGCUUUUGAAAUGAUUAAAACUCUUGAAUUUUAGAUUGAAAAUAUUUAAUGAUAUUAGAUUUUCUUUUGGUUUCUUAGUUUUUGGGUUGUGAAUAUCUUUUGAUGUGUAGCAUGGUCGAUAGAUAGGUUUUAUAUUGUUUAGUUACUAAGUGUGAUGUUAUAGGUUUUAUGUUGUAGUUACUAAGUGUGAUGUUGUGCACCGAGAUUUUGUGUCGAACAAUGUGAAUGUUGCAUUAGAAGUGAUACUUAUGCUUGUGAUUUCGUGUUCAAUUUUUGCACCUUCAGAACUUGAGCUGCUCUUGUUAAAUUUGAUAACAAACCAAACUACUUAUUUUUUUGAAAAUAAGAAGUAAUAAUAAUAACCAACUAACAAAUCUUGGACUAUCUGUGAAUCUCUUUGUUGAUAACUCUCUCAAUUUUUUAACAUUUUCUAAGCAGUUCAGUAUAUUUAAAAUGACGAUAAAAGUUGAACCUUUGGCCCUCACCCCCUCCCUUCCACCCGGCCUUCCCACUCGUCAGUUCCUGGCUUCGCCACUAAAAACAGUAGAUCAAAUUUGACGUGCCAAAGAGCAACAACAACAACAACAACAAAGCCUUUUCCCACUAAGUGGGGUCGGCUAUAUGAAUCCUAGAACGCC